rnacentral:rRNA from 1 species
UACGAAGGGUGCAAGCGUUACUCGGAAUUACUGGGCGUAAAGCGUGCGUAGGUGGUUUGUUAAGUCUGAUGUGAAAGCCCUGGGCUCAACCUGGGAAUUGCAUUGGAUACUGGCAGGCUAGAGUGCGGUAGAGGGUAGUGGAAUUCCCGGUGUAGCAGUGAAAUGCAUAGAGAUCGGGAGGAACACCAGUGGCGAAGGCGACUACCUGGACCAGCACUGACACUGAGGCACGAAAGCGUGGGGAGCAAACAGG